rnacentral:rRNA from 1 species
CCUACGGGUGGCAGCAGUGGGGAAUAUUGGACAAUGGGCGAAAGCCUGAUCCAGCCAUGCCGCGUGUGUGAAGAAGGCCUUCGGGUUGUAAAGCACUUUCAGUGGGGAAGAAAGCCUUGGGGCUAAUACCCUCGAGGAAGGACAUCACCCACAGAAGAAGCACCGGCUAACUCCGUGCCAGCAGCCGCGGUAAUACGGAGGGUGCGAGCGUUAAUCGGAAUUACUGGGCGUAAAGCGCGCGUAGGCGGUCUGAUAAGCCGGUUGUGAAAGCCCCGGGCUCAACCUGGGAACGGCAUCCGGAACUGUCAGGCUAGAGGGCAGGAGAGGAAGGUAGAAUUCCCGGUGUAGCGGUGAAAUGCGUAGAGAUCGGGAGGAAUACCAGUGGCGAAGGCGGCCUUCUGGACUGACACUGACGCUGAGGUGCGAAAGCGUGGGUAGCAAACAGGAUUAGAUACCCUUGUAGUC